UUAGAGUUUGAUCCUGGCUCAAGACGACCUUUGGCGGCACGCUUAACACAUGCAAGUCGAACGAGCGGAGAGAAGCUUGCUUUUCAAAGCUAGUGGCGGACGGGUGAGUAACACGUGAGCAAUCUGCCUUUCAGAGGGGGAUACCUGUUGGAAACGACAGUUAAUACCGCAUAAAAUAAUUUUACCGCAUGAUAAAAUUAUCAAAGAUUUAUCGCUGAAAGAUGAGCUCGCGUCUGAUUAGCUAGUUGGUAAGGUAACGGCCUACCAAGGCAACGAUCAGUAGCCGGACUGAGAGGUUGGACGGCCACAUUGGGACUGAGACACGGCCCAGACUCCUACGGGAGGCAGCAGUGGGGAAUAUUGCACAAUGGAGGAAACUCUGAUGCAGCGAUGCCGCGUGAGGGAAGAAGGUUUUAGGAUUGUAAACCUCUGUCUUAGGGGACGAUAAUGACGGUACCCUAGGAGGAAGCUCCGGCUAACUACGUGCCAGCAGCCGCGGUAAUACGUAGGGAGCGAGCGUUGUCCGGAAUUACUGGGUGUAAAGGGAGUGUAGGCGGGACUGCAAGUCAGAUGUGAAAACUAUGGGCUUAACCCAUAGACUGCAUUUGAAACUGCGGUUCUUGAGUGAAGUAGAGGUAAGCGGAAUUCCUAGUGUAGCGGUGAAAUGCGUAGAUAUUAGGAGGAACAUCAGUGGCGAAGGCGGCUUACUGGGCUUUAACUGACGCUGAGGCUCGAAAGCGUGGGGAGCGAACAGGAUUAGAUACCCUGGUAGUCCACGCUGCAAACGGAUGAUUACUUAGGUGUGGGGGGACUGACCCCCUCCCGUGCCGCAGUUAACACAAUAAGUAAUCCACCUGGGGAGUACGGCCGCAAGGCUGAAACUCAAAGGAAUUGACGGGGGCCCGCACAAGCAGUGGAGUAUGUGGAUUAAUUCGAAGCAACGCGAAGAACCUUACCAGGUCUUGACAUCGUAUGCAUAGCUCAGAGAUGAGUGAAAUCCCUUCGGGGACAUAUAGACAGGUGGUGCAUGGUUGUCGUCAGCUCGUGUCGUGAGAUGUUGGGUUAAGUCCCGCAACGAGCGCAACCCUUAUGUUUAGUUGCUACGCAAGAGCACUCUAGACAGACUGCCGUUGACAAAACGGAGGAAGGUGGGGAUGACGUCAAAUCAUCAUGCCCCUUAUGACCUGGGCCUCACACGUACUACAAUGGCUAUAAACAAAGUGAAGCAAGACAGUGAUGUGGAGCAAAACACAAAAAAUAGUCUUAGUUCGGAUUGUAGGCUGCAACCCGCCUACAUGAAGUCGGAAUUGCUAGUAAUCGCAGAUCAGCAUGCUGCGGUGAAUACGUUCCCGGGUCUUGCAAACGCCGCCCGUC
rnacentral:rRNA from 1 species